AUUGAACGCUGGCGGCAGGCUUAACACAUGCAAGUCGAGCGGAGAUGAGGUGCUUGCACCUUAUCUUAGCGGCGGACGGGUGAGUAAUGCUUAGGAAUCUGCCUAUUAGUGGGGGACAACAUUCCGAAAGGAAUGCUAAUACCGCAUACGCCCUACGGGGGAAAGCAGGGGAUCUUCGGACCUUGCGCUAAUAGAUGAGCCUAAGUCGGAUUAGCUAGUUGGUGGGGUAAAGGCCUACCAAGGCGACGAUCUGUAGCGGGUCUGAGAGGAUGAUCCGCCACACUGGGACUGAGACACGGCCCAGACUCCUACGGGAGGCAGCAGUGGGGAAUAUUGGACAAUGGGCGGAAGCCUGAUCCAGCCAUGCCGCGUGUGUGAAGAAGGCCUUUCGGUUGUAAAGCACUUUAAGCGAGGAGGAGGCUACCUGGAUUAAUACUCUAGGAUAGUGGACGUUACUCGCAGAAUAAGCACCGGCUAACUCUGUGCCAGCCGCCGCCGUAAUAC
rnacentral:rRNA from 1 species